rnacentral:lncRNA from 10 species
AGAGGCGGAGGGCUCGGCUGGCUGCUCCAGUCUGCGCCGUCCAUGCGUCUCGGGUGUCCUAUCCCGGAGGAUACAUUUUUCUUUUUCAGAAAAGGGAAACAGGAAAACGGGGACGAUUAGACUCUAUCUAGGGGAGCCAUGUGGAAAAACCAGCUUCAGGCUGGAGUUUAGCUCACUGCAACCUCUGCCUCCUGGGUUCAAGCAAUUCUCCUCCCUCAGCCUUCUGAGUAGCUGGGACUACAGGCUUUAGAACUGGCGGCUUUAUAAGAAGAGAAAGAGAGAUCUGAGCUAGCACACUCAACCCCCUUGCUCUGUGAUGCCCUGUGCCAUCUCGGGACUCUGCAGAGGGUCCCCACCAGCAAGAAGGCCUUCACCAGAGCGGCCCCUUAACCUUGGACUUCCCAGCCUCCAUAACUGUCUGACUGGAUCCAGAAGUUCCAGUGAAGCCGAUUUCUAUCUCUAGUCUUUGUGAUCCUUUCCUCUCCAGCAAGGCUUUUCCUUGCCAUGACAAGACACCUGGCAGCAUCUCCAGGCUUACUCAACCAGUACCCUUGAUGGGAAAAGGGCUUUUCUUUCUUAAUUUUCCAGCAAAAGCCUCAAGAUUGACUCUGGAGUAAAUUGCACAUGGCCUCAAAUUCUUUGCAGCUCCUUCCACUAUGAGGUGGCAUGUAUUACUCCAAUCCCUGCAUCUGGGCUGGAUUUGUGACUUGUUUUGAACAAUAGAAUGUGGUAAAAGUGACAGUGAAAAUAUAUGAGUUUCAAGCCUAAGACAACAUGCUUUUCAGCCUUUGCUCUGGAUUUCUUUGAAUGCUGCUGUCACAUAAACAAGACUGAAAUAGCCUACUAGAGGAUGGG